rnacentral:rRNA from 1 species
GACGAACGCUGGCGGCGUGCUUAACACAUGCAAGUCGAACGGAAAGGCCCUGCUUUUGUGGGGUGCUCGAGUGGCGAACGGGUGAGUAGCACGUGAGUAACCUGCCCUUGACUUUGGGAUAACUUCAGGAAACUGGGGCUAAUACCGGAUAGGAGCUCCUGCUGCAUGGUGGGGGUUGGAAAGUUUCGGCGGUUGGGGAUGGACUCGCGGCUUAUCAGCUUGUUGGUGGGGUAGUGGCUUACCAAGGCUUUGACGGGUAGCCGGCCUGAGAGGGUGACCGGCCACAUUGGGACUGAGAUACGGCCCAGACUCCUACGGGAGGCAGCAGUGGGGAAUAUUGCACAAUGGGCGGAAGCCUGAUGCAGCAACGCCGCGUGCGGGAUGACGGCCUUCGGGUUGUAUACCGCUUUCGCCUGUGACGAAGCGUGAGUGACGGUAAUGGGUAAAGAAGCACCGGCUAACUACGUG